CCUGUCCCUACUAGAGGCACUACAGGUGUGGCUGCUGUGUCACAUGUGUGUCAGUAGGUGGCAGAGAGGAGAGAGGCUACACCUUCAUUCUGUGUUCUGACUCACGAAAUCUCAAUGGUUAAUAGCCUAACAUUCCCUGAAAAA
ensembl:snoRNA Gm25922 predicted gene, 25922